rnacentral:rRNA from 1 species
CCCUGUACUGGGGGACAACAGUUGAAAACGACUGCUAAUACCGCAUAAGCGCACAGCUUCGCAUGAAGCAGUGUGAAAAACUCCGGUGGUACAAGAUGGACCCGCGUCUGAUUAGCUGGUUGGUGAGGUAACGGCCCACCAAGGCGACGAUCAGUAGCCGGCCUGAGAGGGUGAACGGCCACAUUGGGACUGAGACACGGCCCAAACUCCUACGGGAGGCAGCAGUGGGGAAUAUUGCACAAUGGGGGAAACCCUGAUGCAGCAACGCCGCGUGAGUGAAGAAGUAUUUCGGUAUGUAAAGCUCUAUCAGCAGGAAAGAAAAUGACGGUACCUGACUAAGAAGCCCCGGCUAACUACGUGCCAGCAGCCGCGGUAAUACGUAGGGGGCAAGCGUUAUCCGGAUUUACUGGGUGUAAAGGGAGCGUAGACGGUUUUGCAAGUCUGAAGUGAAAGCCCGGGGCUUAACCCCGGGACUGCUUUGGAAACUGUAGAACUAGAGUGCAGGAGAGGUAAGUGGAAUUCCUAGUGUAGCGGUGAAAUGCGUAGAUAUUAGGAGGAACACCAGUGGCGAAGGCGGCUUACUGGACUGUAACUGACGUUGAGGCUCGAAAGCGUGGGGAGCAAACAGGAUUAGAUACCCUGGUAGUCCACGCCGUAAACGAUGAAAGGAGGUGUUGGUGGGUAUGACCCAUCGGUG